rnacentral:rRNA from 1 species
UUUUAUUUGAGAGUUUGAUCCUGGCUCAGGAUGAACGCUGGCGGCGUGCCUAACACAUGCAAGUUGAGCGAUUUACUUCGGUAAAGAGCGGCGGACGGGUGAGUAACGCGUGGGUAACCUACCCUGUACACACGGAUAACAUACCGAAAGGUAUGCUAAUACGGGAUAAUAUAUUUGAGAGGCAUCUCUUAAAUAUCAAAGGUGAGCCAGUACAGGAUGGACCCGCGUCUGAUUAGUUAGUUGGUAAGGUAACGGCUUACCAAGGCGACGAUCAGUAGCCGACCUGAGAGGGUGAUCGGCCACAUUGGAACUGAGACA